CAACGGAGAGUUUGAUCCUGGCUCAGGAUGAACGCUAGCGGCAGGCUUAACACAUGCAAGUCGAGGGGUAACAGGGAAAGCUUGCUUUCCGCUGACGACCGGCGCACGGGUGCGUAACACGUAUGCAACUUACCUCUAACUGGGAGAUAGCCCCGAGAAAUCGGGAUUAAUACCCCAUAAUAUGUCGAAUUCGCAUGUUUUUGACAUUAAAGCUCCGGCGGUUAGAGAUAGGCAUGCGGCCCAUUAGCUAGUUGGUGAGGUAACGGCUCACCAAGGCUACGAUGGGUAGGGGGCCUGAGAGGGUGAUCCCCCACACUGGUACUGAGACACGGACCAGACUCCUACGGGAGGCAGCAGUGAGGAAUAUUGGGCAAUGGACGAAAGUCUGACCCAGCCAUGCCGCGUGCAGGAAGACGGCCCUCUGGGUUGUAAACUGCUUUUAUAUGGGAAUAAACCCCCCGACGUGUCGGGGGCUGAAGGUACCAUAUGAAUAAGCACCGGCUAACUCCGUGCCAGCAGCCGCGGUAAUACGGAGGGUGC
rnacentral:rRNA from 1 species